AUGACCACAGUGGUGGCGGAUGGACGGAGAGAAGUGGGGGUUGCUGGCUUAAAGCCACAUUGGGUAGAGCCCGGCGUCCUGUCGUGCCCACUGCAGAUGCCCUGGGGGAGAUGUGAAGGCCAACAUCUAGCUGGGAGGGUUUGCGGUAGAGUCAGUUCUAACCACACAGGCCCCAGAGCCUUUCCUACACACACAUUCCCUUCCAUGCCCCAGCCCUUCCCCAAAUCCUAUGGGCUGGAGGAGAUGGUUUAUGCUGAGGGCACUACGCGCCCCAUAAAAGUUAAGUGUAUUUAUACAUAUCAGGCAGGCCUGGUAGGCCCGUGGAGGAGUCGUUAUGGGAAGAAAUGUAGCCCUUGGAAGAAACCUCUUAGGACCAGCGACAUGAAGCCAGGGACUGGGACUCCAUCGGGAGGAACCAGGAAGUUCCCUGCCCCCUCAGGGGAACCCAGGAAGUUCCAGUCUCAGCUGAAUUGCUUCCAACUUGCAGUGGCUCCAAGGCAUGAGCUGAGACAGAUUUCAGACGGAGCUGAUGUUGUGGGAAUAUCCUUCUGAAGAACGAAGUGGACAGAAGAAGAAUUUCUACCCAGGGUAGAAAUCAUUGCAGGCAAGCCCAGCGCUACUAGAAGAAGUUUCUUUGCCUCUUGGUUCUUAACCGUGAUCUUUUUUUUGUUUGUUUUUUUGGCACCACAAAAUGUCAGAACUUCAACCUGACAAAGUGCAGGACAAAUCGAGGAGGAGUGGCUCAGGCUCCCUGGCUGCCCCACCGUGGCCCCCAGGGCCGGGUCCCCAGGCCCGCCGCCCAGGAGUGCAGUGUCCACCCUCCGCGUGUCCUCGCACACCACAGCCCCUCCUCGGGGAGGAAUCCGCAGUGUCCCUCCACAGACAGCAUCUUCUCCAGAGUCCAGGGCUCCGAGGACACACAGCCCCUGCAGGUCCCGGGGCCGAUUCAGACUCCGUGUUUCAUCUCAGAAAUGCAAGAUUGAGGUGUCAGCCUGCCCGUCUGGCCCACAGGGGGCCCAGGACUUCACAAGGGCAUUGCCACCUGGGAAGGGCUGCCUGUUUGAUUAAUUUCUAGCUAAUCCAUCUUUAUUAAGUCUAGCCUUGGUUUCUAGAAGCUUUGAAAUCCAGUGAGGGGGCAAGCCUCAGCUGCUGUGGAUCAUUGGGUUUUGAUACUAGUUGCUAAGAUAGUGGCAACAGCGAGUUUCUUCUUAAGCCUUUGAGCACCUUCCUCCACCCCGGAACCCCUGUGCCCCCCUCAGACCUCCACACUAUCCUGCAAUGAAAGGGUUAAAGCCUAGCCUAGUGGGAGACCUGGCUACAGCCCUGGAGUCAUUGUCCGUUCUGAUUGGUCAGCCCUCGUGAUUGUUAAAUAUUCUGCAUAUUAUUCUGGAAGCAAUACAGACAGGAGCUCUACUAGUGGAACAAGCCACCGCAGAAAAUACUGCAGGUGUCAUAAGGGCCAUAGCAGCUUACAACGACUCCUCAUGCAGUGGGCAGCAAGUUUUUUUGGAAGAUGUCCACCCUCACCCAUGCUGGGCCAGGCCCCUUCCUA
rnacentral:lncRNA from 12 species